GACGAACGCUGGCGGCGUGCUUAACACAUGCAAGUCGAACGGAAAGGCCCUGCUUUUGUGGGGUGCUCGAGUGGCGAACGGGUGAGUAACACGUGAGUAACCUGCCCUUGACUUUGGGAUAACUUCAGGAAACUGGGGCUAAUACCGGAUAGGAGCUCCUGCUGCAUGGUGGGGGUUGGAAAGUUUCGGCGGUUGGGGAUGGACUCGCGGCUUAUCAGCUUGUUGGUGGGGUAGUGGCUUACCAAGGCUUUGACGGGUAGCCGGCCUGAGAGGGGGACCGGCCACAUUGGGACUGAGAUACGGCCCAGACUCCUACGGGAGGCAGCAGUGGGGGAUAUUGCACAAUGGGCGGAAGCCUGAUGCAGCAACGCCGCGUGCGGGAUGACGGCCUUCGGGUUGUAAACCGCUUUCGCCUGUGACGAAGCGUGAGUGACGGUAAUGGGUAAAGAAGCACCGGCUAACUACGUG
rnacentral:rRNA from 1 species